AGCAUGGAGGGCAGGAUGGGAGGGAGAGUAGGGUUUAUCUGCAAACCAGAAAGAAAGUGGGCAGGCUCCAAACUUCCUGCCUAUGAGGGCUCCGGGGACACUGGGCUGCCCUGACAGGGAAGCUGGGGGAGAAGGGAUCCUCUUCUUGCAGAAAUGGGGUAGAGCUAUGUCUCGGGCAGCUGGGGAAGGCCUGCUGGAAGCGGCGGAAGGGACUGGAUGACCUGCGGAGUGCCAUUCGGCCUGGAGGACUCAGUGCUGUGUGUGACUCCAAGAACAAGCCGGGGCCAGGCUCCCUGCCCAUAACUUUUCCUCACUUUGAACUGGGUCUUAUUUUAACCUCAGAUGACAAGGAUCCUAAUAAUGGCAACCUCUUUGGCGAGGGGUGAGGGGGUACAAAAUAGGGCAUGAAGGAAGUAGAGAGGCUUGGACUGCAGAUGAUGAUUCCUCUCCAGCUACGUCCAGGAAACUCACCCAAGUCCUCAUCUGAUACUCUCACUUCCUUCUUGGUCAUCCUCAUCUCGCAUACACACUGGUAGCUGGAUGCAGUAGAAUGGGCACCAUGACCUCCAGAGUUUGCCCCCUCUGGCCCCCCUACAGUAAGAGAAGAGUGAUAAUCCUAUGAACUCAAGCAGCCAAGCUGUAACAGCUCCUUGCUGUACAAUGCCUUCUUGCCUCCUGUCCUUUGAGAGUAUUUAAAGCAGAGGUUCCCCCCAAGUAACUAUAAAUGUUGUCUGCCUGGAGCCUUCAGAUUCCUGAACGAUUGGAAUGUUCCUAAAUCUGAAACCAGAGAGAGCCAUAUCAGAGUGCAAAUAUUUUCGGCAUACGUGAACCAUCAAGUUACAGAAUGACCUGACACCCUCCGCUACUCUCAGGGGCCCCCUGCCUGGAAGACAACCCCCCAUCUGCUGCAAAUGCCUUCGUCUUCGACAUACCUCUCUAUUUGCAGAUGCAACCAUCUAUAGAUAGAUCUGAGCGGAGUGACUGUGAGCUGGACAUGGAGGUUGGCCACCCAGCAGAGGCAUCCUACAGGCUACCUCUCUGUCUGGCACACAUCAGGGAGGACAUGUGCUGGAUGAGGAGGAAAAGGCCCCACAAAGAACGGAAGGAGGGAGUGAUUACACCCAAAACAGAUCCUGAAUCUAGUCCGUCAUGCCAAGAGCCAGCACAGAACCAUGUUUGUAUACCUCAUUGAACUACUGAAAUUCCAGCACUCAGACAGCUGUGUCCUCAUGUGGUUUUCCCCCUUCUAUAAAUCAAUAAGUACCUCAGACUGGGUCCCAGUGCAGAGCUGUCCUCAAGUUUGGGUCAAGUGAGUAGAAAAACCCAGAAUUUGUUCAGUCAUGUGCUUGUAAAAUGUGAUGCUUCUAUUUUUUAAUAUGUAUGUGCUAUGCACAAACCAUAUCAUGUUCCAACAAAAAGUAAAAGGUCUUUUUAUACGUUCCUCUAAACUGUCAGACUCCACCCCUCCUAUUAAAACUCACAACGAAU